rnacentral:rRNA from 1 species
UACGGAAGGUCCGGGCGUUAUCCGGAUUUAUUGGGUUUAAAGGGAGCGUAGGCCGGAGAUUAAGCGUGUUGUGAAAUGUAGAUGCUCAACAUCUGAACUGCAGCGCGAACUGGUUUUCUUGAGUACGCACAAAGUGGGCGGAAUUCGUGGUGUAGCGGUGAAAUGCUUAGAUAUCACGAAGAACUCCGAUUGCGAAGGCAGCUCACUGGAGCGCAACUGACGCUGAAGCUCGAAAGUGCGGGUAUCGAACAGG